GAUGAACGCUAGCUACAAGGCUUAACACAUGCAAGUCGUGGGGCAGCAUGGGAGAUGCUUGCAUUUCCUGAUGGCGACCGGGGCACGGGUGAGUAACGCGUAUCCAACCUGCCCUUCACUCCGGCACAGCCCGUCGAAAGACGGAUUAAUGCGGGAUGCAGUCAGAAAGAUGCAUAUUAAUUUGACGAAAGGCUUUAUGCCGGUGAGGGAUGGGGAUGCGUCCGAUUAGCUUGACGGCGGGGUAACGGCCCACCGUGGCGACGAUCGGUAGGGGUUCUGAGAGGAAGGUCCCCCACAUUGGAACUGAGACACGGUCCAAACUCCUACGGGAGGCACAUGAGGAAUAUUGGUCAAUGGGCGAGAGCCUGAACCACCAGUACGUGAAGGAUGACGGCCCUACCGGUUGUAACUUUCUUUUGUGCGGGAAUAAAGGAGCCUACGUGUAGGCUUUUGCAUGUACCGUAACGAAUAAGCAUCGGCUAACUCCGUGCCAGCASCCGCGGUAAUACGGAGGAUGCGAGCGUUAUCCGGAUUUAUUGGGUUUAAAGGGAGCGUAGACGGGUUUUUAAGUCAGCUGUGAAAGUUUGGGGCUCAACCUUAAAAUUGCAGUUGAAACUGGAGACCUUGAGUACGGUUGAGGCAGGCGGAAUUCGUGGUGUAGCGGUGAAAUGCUUAGAUAUCACGAAGAACCCCGAUUGCGAAGGCAGCCUGCUAAGCCGCCACUGACGUUGAGGCUCGAAAGUGCGGGUAUCAAACAGGAUUAGAUACCCUGGUAGUCCGCACGGUAAACGAUGGAUACUCGCUGUUGGCGAUAGACGGUCAGCGGCCAAGCGAAAGCGUUAAGUAUCCCACCUGGGGAGUACGCCGGCAACGGUGAAACUCAAAGGAAUUGACGGGGGCCCGCACAAGCGGAGGAACAUGUGGUUUAAUUCGAUGAUACGCGAGGAACCUUACCCGGGCUUGAACUGCAGUGGAAUUAUCCGGAAACGGAUAAGCGAGCAAUCGCCGCUGUGGAGGUGCUGCAUGGGUUGUCGUCAGCUCGUGCCGUGAGGUGUCGGGCUUAAGUGCCAUAACGAGCGCAACCCUUGCUGCCAGUUACUAACAGGUCAUGCUGAGGACUCUGGCAGGACUGCCAUCGUAAGAUGCGAGGAAGGUGGGGAUGACGUCAAAUCAGCACGGCCCUUACGUCCGGGGCUACACACGUGUUACAAUGGGGAGUACAGAGGGCAGCUACCGGGCGACCGGAUGCGAAUCCCGAAAGCUCCUCUCAGUUCGGACUGGAGUCUGCAACCCGACUCCACGAAGCUGGAUUCGCUAGUAAUCGCGCAUCAGCCACGGCGCGGUGAAUACGUUCCCGGGCCUUGUACACACCGCCCGUCAAGCCAUGAAAGCCGGGGGUACCUGAAGUACGUAACCGCGAGGAUCGUCCUAGGGUAAAACCGGUAAUUGGGGCUA
rnacentral:rRNA from 1 species